CGUAACAAGGUAACCGUAAAGUUUGAUCAUGGGUUGAGAAACACGAAAGUGGCCUGCCCCUGACUCUGGGAUAAGCCUGAGAAAUUGGGUCUAAUACUGGAUAUGAACAUUUGCCGCAUGGUGGGUGUUGGAAAGAUUUUUUGGUUGGGGAUGGACUCGCGGCCUAUCAGCUUGUUGGUGAGGUAGUGGCUCACCAAGGCGACGACGGGUAGCCGGCCUGAGAGGGUGACCGGCCACACUGGGACUGAGACACGGCCCAGACUCCUACGGGAGGCAGCAGUGGGGAAUAUUGCACAAUGGGCGAAAGCCUGAUGCAGCGACGCCGCGUGAGGGAUGACGGCCUUCGGGUUGUAAACCUCUUUCAGUAAGGAAGAAGCGAAAGUGACGGUACUUGCAGAAGAAGCGCCGGCUAACUACGUGCCAGCAGCCGCGGUAUUACGUAGGGCGCGAGCGUUAUCCGGAAUUAUUGGGCGUAAAAAAGCUCGUAGGCGGUUUGUCCCGCCUGCCGGGAAAAUCCCGGGGCUUAACUCCC
rnacentral:rRNA from 1 species